rnacentral:rRNA from 1 species
GGAAACUGCCUGAUGGAGGGGGAUAACUACUGGAAACGGUAGCUAAUACCGCAUAACGUCGCAAGACCAAAGAGGGGGACCUUCGGGCCUCUUGCCAUCGGAUGUGCCCAGAUGGGAUUAGCUWGUWGGUGGGGUAACGGCUCACCWAGGCGACGAUCCCUAGCUGGUCUGAGAGGAUGACCAGCCACACUGGAACUGAGACACGGUCCAGACUCCUACGGGAGGCAGCAGUGGGGAAUAUUGCACAAUGGGCGCAAGCCUGAUGCAGCCAUGCCGCGUGUAUGAAGAAGGCCUUCGGGUUGUAAAGUACUUUCAGCGGGGAGGAAGGGAGUAAAGUUAAURCCUUU